rnacentral:rRNA from 1 species
GCCGGCAGCUAGCUCUCUGUAACUCCCACAUGGAAGCUAAGCAGGGCUGCGCCUGGUCAAUAGUUGGUGGGAGACCACAUGGGAAAGCUAGGUUGCUGCCGGAA